GUGAUUAUUUUAAUCAGCAUUGUUAUCAUUUAACUAUGGAUACUUUCCUUUUUAAAAUACGGACGAGGUCAGGCUCUAAAAGGCUACUUCUCAGUCUAUUUGCUCUUAGCUCUAAAGUGUUGGAAGGGCUUUCACACAGUUCCAACCAACUUGAAGUGUGAUCUGUCCUCUCCAAGUUUUAAAACGAAGUUCAAAUCUUUUGUCUUAUGGUGAUGUUCUCUUAGGUAACGUCGUUUCCCACGGAGCGAGUGUUGUCUACAUUGAAAAUCCACAGAGGUGUUAACCCCUUCCCUCCCUCCAGCCCACACUCCAGGUGGCCACAGGAUGUCUGGCGUCCGUCUGCCUCUCCCUCACUUCCGGUCGUCCUGCAGAGUUGUCCUGCCUGAGCCACUGUGUGUGCAAGAGCUGCACGAACAAGUUCACCAACAGUGUUGCUCACCUCGCUGGGUCUUUAACCGACUUUGACCCUGCUCCCAGCUGAGCCCCCGGUGAGCAGGCUUCCACCAUGCCUGCGGCUCAUACACAGCCUCUUGUCUUGCUGAGGCAUUGUACUUAUCUGCAGUGUGCUUAAUUUUUUCCUUCGGAAUCUUUCCUUACCACACUGUAAUUCACCGACUUACAAUACUCAUAAUUUUCUCACUGCUCUGACCUGAAAAUCGUCUCCCCCAUCAUUGUCCACACAUACAACCAGUUUCCACUGCCACACACGGCCACAGUAACUAAGGAAAUAUGGAAUAAAUGCCGGGCGGCAUGAAGGGUCUGCUUGAGGGCCUUGUGCAGGAAUUUAAGGUGACUUCUGCUGGCACGGUUGAAUUUUCCCCCCUCAGCACCUUCAACGGAGAAGCAGACGUGGAACUGUGCACACGUGGGUUGAACCAGGCAGACUGUUUUGCCUCCAGGUAAAAUGAAGAGAGCGGUGGGUGAGGAAUGGAAUAUGUGCAACUAAGCAGCUAUAAAUAUCGACUGUGGAAUUUUUAAACCGAGCCGGAAGCAGGAGUGGGCACCGAAGCAGGGAGCGUGGACGGGAGAAAGGGUCCGUUCAUCGGAGCGAGACUGCCGGAGAAAAUGCGCGGGGCCGGUGGAAGCGGGCCAGUGACGGUGCAGUGGAUGGGGUUACGGCUGGGCCGCAGGUGACACUCUUGACGAGGUCUACAGUGUGACCGGGAGCAAGCAGGGCGAGGCAGGGUGGACGGCGCGGUCACUGGGGGAGCGACAUUGUGACAUGAGCAGCCAGGCUGUGACGCUUCACUUCAUCUCCGAAGUCACCGAGAGCGCACUCGUAGGUGCGUCUGGAGCGUGUGAGAGCGAACGAGGAGCCGACACUGCCUGCACAUGUGGGGUGGGGUGAGGCCCGGGGGCCAGAGGUAACCCCGUUCAGUUAGCCCAGCCAGUCCCCCUCCAAAGACCUCGGAAUUGAGAUAAAAAGCAGCACGCUUUGGUCCAGAGUCAGCAAAGCUCCAAUACUCUGAAUUAAAUCAAGCUCCUCGGUAGUGCACGAGUCCAGGUUUCUCUCUUCUCUUGGAAAAUGAAAGCCUCGUCCACACUGAGCUCAACCAGACGUGCAGGAAUAACAAACUGGUGCUGAGUGGCGACUGUCCGGUUACACAGCUCACACUCCACGCCACGCCCCCCGGCCCCUCCUGCUCACGCCCCCUUCUCCAGCUGUCCUGACUGCUGGUGUGUUUCCAUCCUGUGUUAAGACUGCGUUUUGUCAAAGGACUGUAAAGACUGCUAAAGCUAUCCACAGGAGGGACGAAGUUGGAUAAGAAAAAUAUUUUCAUCCCUUCUCUUCAGUCGGACUUCGGGCUCACUGAGGUUUUACAACUUAGAUCGCUCCGCCAAUUCACAGUCACACACACUGAGUGAACAACCCUGAAUUGUCACCUCCCCAGGAGGCCCUCACUGACCACCUGAACUAAGCGGCUCCUUGUUACCCUCUGUCUUCCCACCUUGUUUUCUCCAUGGCACAUACCACAAGAGGACAUUAUAAGAGGUUGUGCAUCAUGUCCCAGCAACAAAGAAGCCUCUAAUACAGCAGAUAUAAACUCCAGUGGAGAUAUACAGAUACUGUGCUGAACCUGCCUACAUCCAGUGAUGACAGGGACAUUCUAGUGAUGGUCAUUUCAUGUUCCUGGUGGGUCAGUCAACAAGAACCUUCACCCAGAACAUCACAUCACUAUGCACAACCAUUCGAAGAUUUGCAUCUAAAGAACCUGCUUGUUUACCUUUUAUUUUUUAAAUACUGGAAAUCAAUGUUUAAGUUUCUAUGAAAAAGCAAAGGCAUUUCAAAUUCAAACUUUAAUAUAUUUUGUCUUUCAAAAUGAUUAUCAGGGUCUAGUCUGGGUAUUGCAAGUGCAUUAGAAAGGCAGUUGCCCCAAAGCACCAUGGAAACCACUGAAUGGCCUCUCAUCCGUCCUUCGGCUACAGAAAGACUGAAGCAUCUGACCCACGCGAAGACAGAAAUUCUAGGCUGACACCUAUUGCUGGGAAGACCAGAUGCCUGGCCAUGUUUCUCCAUAGCUCAUCCUCUGGCUGUGUGUUGGGCUGAGCACCAAGCCCCUGGGCACUGGGCCAAACUCCCUCCUGGUGCUCAGACUGUGUCCAGGAUGGCUGGUGGUAGCUUCCUCAGCUGGCUCCCUGGGUGUCCAGGCAGUUGGCUGGACUCAGAGGUUGUGGUGGCACAACGCAUGGUGAAUGUGGCCCAUUGCACCCACUUCCACCUCUGAGGACUACAAGGGUGAUCCUGGGACUCCUACACCACUCAGGCUCCCCUCUAAGAGGGCCCUAAGACUCAUAGCACACUGGCGUCCAUCAGUGGCAUAAUGCCGUGGCAUGCCACAUGGCAUAAGAAGCUCUGCUGCAGCCAGCUCUGCCUUGUCCUGAGUAUCUUGUGCCCUAGAAAGGGGUUUGGCUCACCUCAGGUCACACACUAAGUGAAUGACAGAGCUGGGACCAGUGCCUAACUUUUCUGGCUCCAGGCGCCACACCCCUGUAGGCUUCACGUCUUGUCUUUAUUUUCCCCGACUUCCUUCCUCCCAUUGACGCAUUGGCCUAGAUUCGUCCUGCACACCACCUCCUGGUCAGAGACGCAGCUUGGGCGGCAGCAACCACAAGGAAGGCAAUACACUUGGGCUGUGAAGAAUACAACUUUAAAAAUAGGUGGAUUUUAUUGCCGGGUGUUGGUGGAGAAAGUGGAACCUGGAAGAGAGAAGGGAAUAAUUUAUGGCAGGAAGGAGACAUGAGGCGGUAUUUCUAUGCCAUCUACUCUCUUGGUUUGAGCUCUGUGCUGAGCACUAUAUACAGUGAUCUUGAAAGCAUGCUAGAGAGCAGAGCCUGCAAACAUGGGAGACUUUGAAUUCACAGGUUAUUGGAAGUGUGAGGAGCAUGCACGAUUUCACAUGCUAAGGCCCAUGUAGUGGUUUCCAGAUCCUAGUGUGUGUGACAAUCUCACCGAGAGCUUGUUGAAGUUACUUAUACAAGUCACUCUCAGCCAGUUGGUCUGAACGGAAGAUCAGUGGGAUUUGCAUUCAGUAAGCACAUGAGGAUCACCUGGGUGAU